CAAAGGUUUUUUGACGGAUAAACAAAUUCGUGAUAAUGUCGAUCUCUAGUUAGACAAAAAGUAAACAUAAAUUGGAGGUUUUCCGCGAGCAAAUUAGGAUUCCGAAGUAUCUCAGUUGGUUAGAGCACUCGACGCGAAAUUGAGAGGUCCCGGGUACGAUUUCUGGCUCGGAUGAUAAUUAUGGUACACACCUCUUUUGCUUUCUUCCAAUUAUCGAAUUUCACUUUCACCAAAUGACCUAAAGGUUGUGACCCUUUGCCGCCGCUUACAGCAAAUGCUACACACGGAACACAAAAUGCACCAUGAUGCAAUUCUGACAAUGGAAAAAAGUAAUUUUUCGGCGGAACCCAAGCAUUUGUUAAUAAGUCCAGCCUCUGAGAUUCACUAAGUCUGAUGCCAAUAAAAUACCGACGUCGUGUUUAUUUACGUUCCGAUAAGGCGGAUGAGGGUUAUGUUGUUUAACGUUUUUAUUGCCUUCAAUACAUGAGCUUUGAUCGCCCGUAUUUUUACUACCCGAUGCAGCAUACCGAGGUUUUUUCACGGCUAUUUCGACAGAUGAUUGCGCUUCUUCAUUGUCUUCAGUUUUUGGAGAAUAUAAACGAAAUGCAUACUCGAAACUGCUCGAAACUAUUAUAUGCAGCUGAUUCAGCGCCGCAGCACCUAGUAAACUGAGAGCCACUGUGACUGACUGAGGUAUCACUUGGAGGUCGCAUGAUUGGUCGGUCCGUUAGAAGCGCUGGAGUUAUCAUAUUUUCCACGAACCCUCCUGAUGAACAACAAACCGGCAGGCAGACGCCAAAACUGCUUAAAUCCUGGGAAACGCAGCGACCGCUGGCAAGCUAAAAGAUUCCAGGAAGAAUUUGUCGGUCGACAAGAAGUCAACAGUAUUGAACAUAACUCGGGCAUUCGAAACUUUAAUAUGCUGUACUAAUCGCGUAAAAUGUGUUUCUUUUUCAAUUUUGAGAUUAUAUUAUCUUAUAAUUCUCAGUCCCAAGGGGGGGGAUUGAUCCCCCUGAUCCCCCCCUAUCUACG